GUUCUUAACUGAAUGGAGUAGCUAUCUCUCGGGGUAGUCAGUUGGUUAUUAUGUCUCCACUAAUGAGCAGAGAGGAGUAAAAUCUUCAAAGUAAGUUAUGUGGGUCAAGGUAUAAUGAUUAAUUGGAGUUCUAGUUCAUUUACUUUGAGAAAAUUAGAGUGUUUAAAGCAGCCUCUUGGGGCACUGAAUACAUUAGCAUGGGAUAAUAAAAUAGGAUCUUCACAAUAUAUUUUAUUGGUUUAAAUUGGAUAUGAAGAUAAUGAUUAAUAGGGACAGUUGGGGGUAUUCAUAUUGGGUGGUUAGCGGUGAAAUGCUCGGAUCCAUUCAAGAUGAACUAAAGCGAAAGCAUUUACCAAGGAUGUUUUCAUUAAUCAAGAACGAAAGUUAAGGGAUCGAAGACGAUUAGAUACCGUCGUAGUCUUAACUAU
rnacentral:rRNA from 1 species